rnacentral:rRNA from 1 species
UACGUAGGGACCAAGCGUUGUUCGGAUUUACUGGGCGUAAAGGGCGCGUAGGCGGCCUAGCAAGUCACUUGUGAAAUCUCCGGGCUUAACUCGGAAAUGCCAAGUGAAACUGCUGGGCUAGAGUGCAGAAGGGGCAAUCGGAAUUCUUGGUGUAGCGGUGAAGUGCGUAGAUAUCUGGAGGAACACCGGUGGCGAAGGCGACAUCCUGGACCGGUAUUGACGCUGAGGAGCGAAAGCCAGGGGAGCAAACGGG